GUCGCCUGUUUUAUUCAAAAACAUGUUCUUUUGUUUAUAUAAAAGAUUUGACCUGCCCAAUGAUUAAAUAUUUAAUGGCUGCAGUAUUUUGACUGUACAAAGGUAGCAUAAUCAUUUGUCUUUUAAUUGAAGUCUAGAAUGAAUGGUUUGAUGAAAAACAUAUUUUCUUUAUUUUAUAAAUAAAACUUAAUUUUUUAGUUAAAAAGCUAAAAUUAUUUUAUAGGACGAGAAGACCCUAUAGAACUUUAUUUUUGAAUAAAUAUAUUUAAUAUAGAAAAUAUUUUAAGUAUAUUUAUAUUAAAUUUUGUUGGGGUGACAGAAAAAAAUUAAUAACUUUUUCUACUUUUUUCAUUAUAAAUGAAUUUUUGAUCCUUUUUUAAGGAAUAUAAGAUUAAGUUACCUUAGGGAUAACAGCGUUAUUAUUUUAGAGAGUUCUUAUCGAUAAAAUAGUUUGCGACCUCGAUGUUGGAUUAUAAAAAGAUAUAGGAGUAGAAUAUUAUAUUCUAGGUCUGUUCGACCUUUAAAUUUUUACGUGAUCUGA
rnacentral:rRNA from 1 species